GACGAACCGUACAAACGUUAUUCGGAAUCACUGGGCUUAAAGGGUGCGUAGGCGGCCCGGAAAGUUGGGUGUGAAAUCCCUCGGCUCAACCGAGGAAUUGCGCUCAAAACUACCGGGCUUGAGGGAGACAGAGGUGAGCGGAACUACGGGUGGAGCGGUGAAAUGCGUUGAUAUCCGUAGGAACACCGGUAGCGAAAGCGGCUCACUGGGUCUUUUCUGACGCUGAGUGCACGAAAGCUAGGGGAGCGAACGGG
rnacentral:rRNA from 1 species